GAUGAACGCUGGCGGCGUGCCUAAUACAUGCAAGUCGAGCGAACAGACGAGGAGCUUGCUCCUCUGACGUUAUCGGCGGACGGGUGAGUACCACGUGGAUAACCUACCUAUAAGACUGGGAUAACUUCGGGAAACCGGAGCUAAUACCGGAUAAUAUAUUGAACCGCAUUGUUCAAUAGUGAAAGACGGUUUUGCUGUCACUUAUAGAUGGAUCCGCGCCGCAUUAGCUAGUUGGUAAGGUAACGGCUUACCAAGGCAACGAUGCGUAGCCGACCUGAGAGGGUGAUCGGCCACACUGGAACAGAGACACGGUCCAGACUCCUACGGGAGGCAGCAGUAGGGAAUCUUCCGCAAUGGGCGAGAGCCUGACGGAGCAACGCCGCGUGAGUGAUGAAGGUCUUCGGAUCGUAAAACUCUGUUAUUAGGGAAGAACAAAUGUGUAAGUAACUAUGCACAUAUUGACGGUACCUAAUCAGAAAGCCACGGCUAACUACGUG
rnacentral:rRNA from 1 species